UGCCAGCCGCCGCGGUAAGACGAAGGUGGCGAGCGUUAUUCGGAUUUACUGGGCAUAAAGCGCGCGUAGGCGGCCUGAUCAGUCGGAGGUGAAAGCCCGCAGCUCAACUGCGGAACUGCCCCCGAUACUGUCAGGCUUGAGUGCAGGAGAGGUGACCGGAACUCCAGGUGUAGCGGUGAAAUGCGUGGAUAUCUGGAGGAACACCAGAGGCGAAGGCGGGUCACUGGACUGCUACUGACGCUGAGGCGCGAAAGCUAGGGGAGCAAACAGGAUUAGAUA
rnacentral:rRNA from 1 species